rnacentral:rRNA from 1 species
AAACGGUAGCUAAUACCGCAUAACGUCGCAAGACCAAAGAGGGGGACCUUCGGGCCUCUUGCCAUCGGAUGUGCCCAGAUGGGAUUAGCUAGUAGGUGGGGUAACGGCUCACCUAGGCGACGAUCCCUAGCUGGUCUGAGAGGAUGACCAGCCACACUGGAACUGAGACACGGUCCAGACUCCUACGGGAGGCAGCAGUGGGGAAUAUUGCACAAUGGGCGCAAGCCUGAUGCAGCCAUGCCGCGUGUAUGAAGAAGGCCUUCGGGUUGUAAAGUACUUUCAGCGGGGAGGAA